rnacentral:rRNA from 1 species
CCAAUAGCGUAUAUUAAAGUUGUUGCAGUUAAAAAGCUCGUAGUUGAAUUUCGGGGUUAGCAGGUUGGUCGUGCCAAUGGUAUGCACUGGCCUUGCUGAUUCCUCCCUCUUGUAGAACCGUAAUGCCAUUAAGUUGGUGUUGCGGGGAAACAGGACUGUUACUUUGAAAAAAUUAGAGUGUUUAAAGCAGGCUAACGCUUGAAUACAUUAGCAUGGAAUAAUGAAAUAGGACGAUCGAUCCUAUUUUGUUGGUUUCUAGGAUUGACGUAAUGAUUAAUAGGGAUAGUUGGGGGCAUUAGUAUUCAAUUGUCAGAGGUGAAAUUCUUGGAUUUAUUGAAGACUAACUACUGCGAAAGCAUUUGCCAAGGAUGUUUUCAUUAAUCAAGAACGAAAGUUAGGGGAUCGAAGACGAUCAGAUACCGUCGUAGUCUUAACCAUAAACUAUGCCGACUAGGGAUCGGAUGAUGUUAAUUUUUUAAUGACUCAUUCGGCGCCUUACG